UACGAAGGGGGCUAGCGUUGCUCGGAAUCACUGGGCGUAAAGCGCACGUAGGCGGAUGUGUCAGUCAGGGGUGAAAUCCCGGAGCUCAACUUCGGAACUGCCUUUGAUACAGCACGUCUUGAGUCCGGAAGAGGUGGGUGGAAUUCCUAGUGUAGAGGUGAAAUUCGUAGAUAUCUGGAGGAACACCGGUGGCGAAGGCGGCGUUCUGGACUGCAACUGACACUGAGAAACGAAAGCCAGGGUAGCAAACGGG
rnacentral:rRNA from 1 species